UACAGAGGGGGCAAGCGUUGUUCGGAAUUACUGGGCGUAAAGGGCGCGUAUGCGGCCUUCUAAGUCGAACGUGAAAUCCCCGGGCUCAACCCGGGAACUGCGUCCGAUACUGGAAGGCUUGAAUCCGGGAGAGGGAUGCGGAAUUCCAGGUGUAGCGGUGAAAUGCGUAGAUAUCGGGAAGAAUACCUGUGGCGAAGGCGGCCAGCUGGGCCAGAUCCGACACUGAGGCGCGAAAGCGUGGGGAGCAAACAGG
rnacentral:rRNA from 1 species